rnacentral:rRNA from 1 species
UACGUAGGGGGCAAGCGUUGUCCGGAAUUAUUGGGCGUAAAGAGCUCGUAGGCGGUUUGUCGCGUCUGCUGUGAAAACCCGAGGCUCAACCUCGGGCCUGCAGUGGGUACGGGCAGACUAGAGUGCGGUAGGGGAGAUUGGAAUUCCUGGUGUAGCGGUGGAAUGCGCAGAUAUCAGGAGGAACACCAGUGGCGAAAGCGGCUCUCUGGGGAUUACCUGACGCUGAGGCGCGAAAGCGUGGGGAGCGAACCGG